rnacentral:rRNA from 1 species
GUGUCAGCAGCCGCGGUAAUACGGAGGAUGCGAGCGUUAUCCGGAUUUAUUGGGUUUAAAGGGUGCGUAGGCGGAUUAGUAAGUCAGUGGUGAAAACCUGCAGCUUAACUGUAGACUUGCCAUUGAUACUGUUAGUCUUGAGUAUGGUCAAGGAAGGCGGAAUGUGUAAUGUAGCGGUGAAAUGCUUAGAUAUUACACAGAACACCGAUUGCGAAGGCAGCUUUCUGGGCCAUUACUGACGCUGAUGCACGAAAGCGUGGGGAUCGAACAGGAUUAGAUACCCUGGUAGUCCACGCCGUAAACGAUGAUCACUCGCUGUUGGCGAUAUACAGUCAGCGGCAAAGCAAAAGCAUUAAGUGAUCCACCUGGGGAGUACGGCCGCAAGGCUGAAACUCAAAUGAAUUGACGGGG